UUAUACAGGUAUAUUGACAGAAAACAUAAUAACAGAUUUUAUAGGGCCUUAGAGCUGUUUAUUAACUAGGUAUAUUGACAGAAAACAUAACAGAUUGUAUAGGGCCUUAGAGCUGUUUAUUAACUAGGUAUAUUGACAGAAAACAUAACAGAUUGUAUAGGGCCUUAGAGCUGUUUAUUAACUAGGUAUAUUGACAGAAAUCAUAACAGAUUUUAUAGGGCCUUAGAGCUGUUUAUUAACUAGGUAUAUUGACAGAAAACAUAACAGAUUGUAUAGGGCCUUAGAGCUGUUUAUUAACUAGGUAUAUUGACAGAAAACAUAACAGAUUGUAUAGGGCCUUAGAGCUGUUUAUUAACUAGGUAUAUUGACAGAAAACAUAACAGAUUUUAUAGGGCCUUAGAGCUGUUUAUUAACUAGGUAUAUUGACAGAAAACAUAAUAACAGAUUUUAUAGGGUGAGUUGACAACAUAGUGCCCC